GCGCCUGUAGCUCAACGGAUAGAGCAUCUCGCUUCGGACGAGAAGGUUCCGGGUUCGAGUCCUGGCAGGCGCA
rnacentral:tRNA from 1 species